rnacentral:rRNA from 3 species
GAAUGCUGACAUAAGUAACGAUAAAGCGGGUGAAAAGCCCGCUCGCCGGAAGACCAAGGGUUCCUGUCCAACGUUAAUCGGGGCAGGGUGAGUCGACCCCUAAGGCGAGGCCGAAAGGCGUAGUCGAUGGGAAACGGGUUAAUAUUCCCGUACUUGGUGUUACUGCGAAGGGGGGACGGAGAAGGCUAUGUUGGCCGGGCGACGGUUGUCCCGGUUUAAGCGUGUAGGUGUGUGUUCCAGGUAAAUCCGGUUCACUUUAACACUGAGGCGUGACGACGAGGCACUACGGUGCUGAAGCAACAAAUGCCCUGCUUCCAGGAAAAGCCUCUAAGCAUCAGGUAACAUCAAAUCGUACCCCAAACCGACACAGGUGGUCAGGUAGAGAAUACCAAGGCGCUUGAGAGAACUCGGGUGAAGGAACUAGGCAAAAUGGUGCCGUAACUUCGGGAGAAGGCACGCUGACACGUAGGUGAAGUGAUUUACUCAUGGAGCUGAAGUCAGUCGAAGAUACCAGCUGGCUGCAACUGUUUAUUAAAAACACAGCACUGUGCAAACACGAAAGUGGACGUAUACGGUGUGACGCCUGCCCGGUGCCGGAAGGUUAAUUGAUGGGGUCAGCGCAAGCGAAGCUCCUGAUCGAAGCCCCGGUAAACGGCGGCCGUAACUAUAACGGUCCUAAGGUAGCGAAAUUCCUUGUCGGGUAAGUUCCGACCUGCACGAAUGGCGUAAUGAUGGCCAGGCUGUCUCCACCCGAGACUCAGUGAAAUUGAACUCGCUGUGAAGAUGCAGUGUACCCGCGGCAAGACGGAAAGACCCCGUGAACCUUUACUAUAGCUUGACACUGAACAUUGAGCCUUGAUGUGUAGGAUAGGUGGGAGGCUUUGAAGUGUGGACGCCAGUCUGCAUGGAGCCGACCUUGAAAUACCACCCUUUAAUGUUUGAUGUUCUAACGUGGACCCGUUACCCGGGUUGCGGACAGUGUCUGGUGGGUAGUUUGACUGGGGCGGUCUCCUCCUAAAGAGUAACGGAGGAGCACGAAGGUUGGCUAAUCCUGGUCGGACAUCAGGAGGUUAGUGCAAUGGCAUAAGCCAGCUUGACUGCGAGCGUGACGGCGCGAGCAGGUGCGAAAGCAGGUCAUAGUGAUCCGGUGGUUCUGAAUGGAAGGGCCAUCGCUCAACGGAUAAAAGGUACUCCGGGGAUAACAGGCUGAUACCGCCCAAGAGUUCAUAUCGACGGCGGUGUUUGGCACCUCGAUGUCGGCUCAUCACAUCCUGGGGCUGAAGUAGGUCCCAAGGGUAUGGCUGUUCGCCAUUUAAAGUGGUACGCGAGCUGGGUUUAGAACGUCGUGAGACAGUUCGGUCCCUAUCUGCCGUGGGCGCUGGAGAACUGAGGGGGGCUGCUCCUAGUACGAGAGGACCGGAGUGGACGCAUCACUGGUGUUCGGGUUGUCAUGCCAAUGGCACUGCCCGGUAGCUAAAUGCGGAAGAGAUAAGUGCUGAAAGCAUCUAAGCACGAAACUUGCCCCGAGAUGAGUUCUCCCUGAGACUUAGAGUCUCCUGAAGGAACGUUGAAGACGACGACGUUGAUAGGCCGGGUGUGUAAGCGCAGCGAUGCGUUGAGCUAACCGGUACUAAUGAACCGUGAGGCUUAACCUU